GCGGUCGUAGCGCAGUUGGUUAGCGCGUAGGUCUCAUACUCGAUAUGACUUGGGGGAUCCUAAGGUCGAGAGUUCGAUUCUCUCCGACCGCA
rnacentral:tRNA from 1 species